rnacentral:rRNA from 1 species
UACGUAGGGGGCUAGCGUUGCUCGGAAUCACUGGGCGUAAAGCGCACGUAGGCGGCUUCUUAAGUUAGGGGUGAAAUCCUGGAGCUCAACUCCAGAACUGCCUUUGAUACUGGGAGUCUUCGAGUCCGGGAGAGGUGAGUGGAACUGCGAGUGUAGAGGUGAAAUUCGUAGAUAUUCGCAAGAACACCAGUGGCGAAGGCGGCUCACUGGCCCGAUACUGACGCUGAGGUGCGAAAGCGUGGGGAGCAAACAGG